AUUUCUGACAACAGCUACAAGAUCGCGAACCCAGUCACACAUAAACUGAUUGUACGCAUCCAUGCUCUUGUAAGCUUUCAGGUCAUCCAUGGUACAAAGACUUGGAAAAUAGUUCACAAUGUCAGGGCAAAGAUACCUUGGCAAAUCCUCCGAAGAAAAAAUAUGUUCAUCUUGAGAGUGCUAACACAAGUGGUUCUGGUACCCGCCCAACAUCCUUGGGGCAGAAUAAGACGGGUUUAGUAAAAGUGAUGACCACAAAAAUCUCCAGAACAUCUGAAGUGGAGGAUUGAGAAAGUGAUGCCAGUCCUGUCGGUAUUAUUAUGAGAACGGUAUUACGUUACGGUACAGAGAUAUUUUUCCAAGGCUCAGCGUGCCACGAUAACACCAAGUGUGCCAACAAACUAGCCAAACAGUUCGUCGAAUGGCCUGCCCCUCUCAAUUCUGUCGAAUGUGAUCCCAGCCAUUUGGAAAAGAGGGCGAAUAGUGCCUCUACCGAAACCUGGCAAGCCGCCAGACCAAGGCACGUCAUACCGCCCGAUCAUGCUACCAUUCCCGGUAGCAAAACUACUGGAAUCCUGCCUACAUUGGUGGAACACGUAUCGUUGGCCGAUCAUCAACGCGGAUUCAGGAAACAGUGCAGCACCAUCACUGCGCUCCAUCAAUUAACGAAGGCUAUCAUCAACGGCUUCAACUGCAAGAAACCAUGCAAAAGAACGGUGCUAGUGGCCCUUGAUCUAUCCAAGAAGUUUGACGUCGUCAACAUCGCCCAACUCACAAACGACCUUCUUGGCACCACACUGCCAAACAAACCGUAUCAAACGAUCGUUGUCAUCAUACCUAUGCGAACGCAUGCAUGCAGAUACGAAUGGGCGUGCCUCAGGGUGGUGUUCGAUUGUGCGCUCACCUUGUAUGCCAACAACAUCUCAAUCUACACGUCAGACAGCAAAAUCAAUGCCGCCUGUGAGUGUAUGAACACUAUACAUCAAUUCCUGGUCGAACGUGAACUCCGUCUGUCAGUCGAAAAAAGUAGUAGUAGUAAAAGUUACUCUGUUCACCACAUUCUAGAGUGAAUUUUGAACCUACCAAUCAAAAUCAAUAACGUGUUGGAAGGAGGGCCUUUUGGGGUCCUUCCGCGUGUUCGUCCAAUUCCAGGUUAGGUCAAUAACUGGACUCCAGAGGCGUGAAAUGUGAUAAACACUUCAAAGUUUAAUGAACAGAGCGCUCUGUGAGACACAAUGUGACACAGACAAAGGCUGUGGCCAGACACCGAGUGUGUGUGUGUGAAAGCAGAACAAAGAUUAUAUAUGCAAUGUUGGAACGCUGCCGUUGGUGGACAAGUCUGAAAACAGCAUCUAACUGAUUUGACUAGACACCCAAGGCCGUUGAGUCUGCUGAAAACACCUCCGUUCUGGCUGGUCACUCAAGGCCUAUGCCUGCGAAAAAAACAACUCAAUUUUGGCUAGUCACACAAGGCUGAAGCCUGCUGGAAAAACAACUCCAUUUAAGGCAGUUCCUGGAACCGGGUAUUAGAGCAGGUUGCAGUCCUAACAUAACCUUUCAGUCCCCCUUUUGGAUUCGACAGAGUACAACACAACAAAGCACGAAAAUUUGAUUUGGCAAAAAAAAUCCAAUUUGUACAAUCUGGUAAUGAAAGCAAUGACAAUAACCCAAUAGCGAAAUUUUAGCAUCCCCCUUUUGAGUUCGAAAGAACUCAACAACUUAACAGAUCAAUAAAGGUUGAUCGCCAGGAGUGGGGCAGCAUGUCAUGGUCCUGCCGGUCCAACCCUGACUGUGCGGGUACCCGCACAGCUGCACUGAUUGGGAGGCGCACACCUGCGCCUCAUCGGCAGGGAUUAACCCCUGUGUAUAUAUAGUGCCCAGCGGACGGUCUGGCUUGGCCAGAUUGUCGCCACCCAUGCCCUGUUCCUGCAGGCCCGUAUUCUUGAUCGUGUACCGACCUCUGCCUGUCCUCUGACCGACCCUGUAAGCUUGACGUCUUUGAUACUCCUGCUAUCUCUGAUCGAUCUCCCGUGUACCAACCCCUGCUUGCCAGCGGACCUGCUCUCUACACCUGACGUCUUAGUUACCGCUGCUCUCUUUGACUGUCUGCCUGAUCCCCGACAUUAGAACAAAUAAACACUUUUCCCAAACUGCCUGUACGUCUCCGGAGUCCUGCAUUUGGGUCCUCCUCCGUACCAAUGGGUCGUGACACUAUCCGCAUGUGUUGGAAGGGGAACAUUGCCUCCCCGUGUUGAGUAUUUGCUUAAGGUCAGCAGGGAAACGCGCUGAGGUCACAAUGGAGACGUCGGCAAGGGUGCAUCACCUCCCAGGUGUCGCUAGGUCACACUUUAAGUCACGCAUGCAGCUCACAGGGAGAACAAUUCAGAGUAAGACCAACAAACAAAUGCAUGAUAAAACAAUUAGAAUAAUAACUAAAAUAGUAAUAAAUUCUUUCAACCCCCUGUUUAUCAUGUACUUCCUCAAAUACUUUCUUCAUCCUAUAGCUUCUCCUAAAGAUUUUAAUUUACAAAAUCAGUUUUACUGUAAACAAAUACACAUACCCUGAGACAACAAUGUUUUAACUCAUAAUCUGGAUUUAGAAGCAAAUCGGACAAGAUUAAUAGAAAACCGUCAUCGUCACUGUCAUUCUUCAUCGUUAAAGCAUACAUCUCCGCCACAUGUUUCUUUGUGGAAAACAGUGUUAAUAAGUUGUACAAAUGAGAGCACAUGGACAAAAUACAACAGCAUCCACACAAGGUCAAGAUUUCUGGAAAACAGCAAUUGAUAUCAAAUUUGAGGACAACAGGGCUGUGCAUCUUCGAAAGGCAUUCAUCCAGGUCUCUCAUACAUGGAGGUGUCAAUAUCGGAAUGAGUCGGUCAGGAUUCGAAGCCCCUCGGUGGCAUGACUCCGUAGCUGUGUGUUGGCUUCACUGCGCAGCAUUGUUCUCCAAACAUAGCACAGAUUUCUCCUCUGUCACCCAACCUGUCAACAGCGACUCUGCUUUGGAAUGCCAUAAAUGAGCACAUAACUGUUCACACACAGUUCCAAACCCUCUCUGUGUCCAAUUGCCCAAUUCUUAUACAUUGUAAUGAAUGGAGUUGAUUCUGUCUACGUUUUUGAUGGUUUUACGCCAACAACCUAAGGACUCAAAUCUUGCUGCGAAUUGAUCAGCCAAUUUAUACUCACUUGGAACAUCAGUGGCGUUGAUGUAUGUUAAAACACUUGUCGUUCACAUAUUGCUGCUUUUUCUUCUCAGCUAGUGUUUGGUAAACUGCAUGUACAGUAGAUGUUAAUUCAUAAAAAGACAUAGGAUGAACAGACAAAUGGCAAUAAUCAAGUUAUUGAA